AUACUCACUAUGGCAGCAUAUGUACUAAAAUUGGACAGAUACAGAGAAGAUUAGCAUGGUCCCUUUGCAAAAUUCAUGAAGCAUUCCAUAUAUUU
ensembl:snRNA U6 U6 spliceosomal RNA